rnacentral:rRNA from 1 species
AGCAGCCGCGGAAAUUCCAGCUCCGAUAGCGUAUAGUAAAGGUGUUGCGGUUAGAAAGCUCGGAGUUGAGUUUCGGGAUCGAUUAAUUGGUCGUGCCUAUGGUACGUACUGAUUUUAUUGGUUUCUCCCUUCUGACGAACCAUGAUGUCAUUAAUUUGGGGUCGUGGAGAAUCAGGACUGUUACUUUGAGAAAAUUAGAGUGUUUAAAGCAAGCUAAGGCUUGAAUACAUUAGCAUGGAAUAGUGAAAUAGGACGUUUGAUCCUAUUUUGUUGGUUUCUAGGAUCGACGUAAUGAUUAAUAGGGAUAGUUGGGGGCAUUAGUAUUCGAUUGGCAGAGGUGAAAUUCUUGGAUUUAUUGAAGACUAACUGCUGCGAGAGCGUUUGCCAAGGAUGUUGUCAGUAAUCAAGAACGAAAGUUAGGGGAUCGAAGACGAUCAGAUACCGUCGUAGUCUUAACCAUAAACUAUGCCGACUAGGGAUCGGAUGAUGUUA